rfam:Triticum aestivum genome assembly, contig: Triticum_aestivum_CS42_TGACv1_scaffold_039083_1BL
GUAGUAUUCCCUCCGUCCCAAAAUUCUUGUCUUACAUUUGUUUAGAUACGGAUGUAUCUAACACUAAAAUGUAACUAGAUACAUCCAUAUUUAGACAAAUUUAAGACAAGAAUUUUGGGACGGAGGGAGUACAAA